CUUCGGCCGCCGCGCGGGAAGAUUAUUAUUGCGUGAUAGUUAUCCCGAAAGUGGAUAAAUGUGAUUGGGAUUUUCACAAAGACACGAACAAGGAAGAAAGGAAAAAAAAUCUUGGACCAGAGUAUGAAGAAACUCGAGAAACGCAAAGAAUCUUUCAGGAUGGGGUCACGUGACCUGGCCUGAAGAUUUGCAGAGGAAUUUCGGAAUAAAAACAUUCUGAGAAAAAAAAGGACAAAAGGGAGACGCGAGAAGAAAAGAGGAAGGAGAAGAGAGAGAGAGAGAGAGAGAGAGAGCAAGGGAUGGUUGAUCAUCCCCGAGGCAUCCUCUGGUGUGGAUGUUUCGUAACUUAAAGAUUCUAAGAAGAGAGAAGAGGAGGAGGAGAGGACAAAGAAGAGAUUAAUUGUCAGAGAAAAGAGAGAUAAGAAGAUAAAGAAGGAGAAUAAGAUUAGAAAAAAGAGCGAUAACGAAUCAAGAUAAUCAGUGAUAAUUUAAAAUCUCGUUUUCUCGGAAUCGAACUCGACAGCUUAGUGAAACGAAGGAGAAUAAAUAGAGAGAGAAGAAAAGCAAAACAAAAACCAAAAACACCAUAAAAGUAAAAAAAAAAAAAAAAAAAAAAAGAUAAAAACAAAAUCCGCACAGAUUCAGCUUAAACGAGAUCAUUCAGAUAGUUAGAGAGAACGAGAUAUAGCUCUACAUGUUGUCAGGGUAAUGGGGAAAGGGACUGACGACCAGCCAGCGCUGUGUUGAUUUUCCGUGCCUUUGAAAGGAAAGUCUAUUCCAUGCGCUUGUAGAGAGAGAAAGAAAGACGAAACGAGGAAGAGGAAGGAAUGAGAUAUAGCAGUACAGACUGAAAGCAUAUGAUUAGCGGAAGAGGAAGAAUUUAAAAAAGUGAAAGGAAUAGAAACGAUAAAGUUUCACAUCAUAAAUAAAAGAAGAAAACCGUUGUUUCCGCCCAACGAGCGAUCCAAAGAACAGUGCUAAAGAAACUCAAAGGAAACCAUAACCGCGAGAUGGAGUGGAGGCUGACCACGCUGGGCACCGGCCGGGCCUGGACUCCGGGCACGGGCGAGCUGCUGCCCAGGGCGAGGGACUUCAAGCUCCCGCACACGGACUCCGGACAGAACUCCCUGGAGUACUGGGACUACUCCGUGGAGCUCGAGAUGCUCAAGGGGCCCGAAGGUGAGUUUGUGACGUAGG